GGAAAGAAAAUGUAUGUGAGCUUUGAACACUCAGUCUUCUCACACCCUCCCCCACCCCUUUUGAGAGGAUAACCCUGCCUGAAGCAGGCCUGCAAGCUCAGAAGUAGGUAGGGUAGAGGCCAGAGAAUUAGUUAAAGGCCAGACUUUGUUUGCUACUUGAGACCUUAUUUGUCAAGCUCUGAGACCUUAUUUACAUAAACAAACAAACAACUGUGUAGGAGAAAGGAGUUUACUAAGGAUCGAACGCAUCAAACGCUUAGCUUCAGAGUCUUAGGACUCUUAGUCCUCCUUUGUUAUUUCUAGCCUAUCUUUUUCUAGAUCAUCGAGUAUGCUCUUCCCUGUGAUUAACAUCAAGUUUGUGCCGGGCCGGCCGGGCUGUUGGUGGAUGCUUUCUGUACAAUUUCAGGAGGCUGAGGCAGAAAGACUACAUGUUUGGGAUAGGCCUGGGAAUACCCUUUUUAAACCACAUCCCAAAUGCAAUUAUAAAAUAGCUGAGGAUGUUGGCCAGAGAUAAAUGCUUACCUUGUCUGGCCUGCCUGAGGCCCAAGCAUCAGUUCUUCAGAGACACAGAAAACGAGACAAAAGAGCACGAACACUUAGAGCAAGGGAGGUAGGGCCUAUGGUAGCCCAGUCUAGUCUUGGGCUAAGUAGGGGGAGAUGACCUUGAACUCCAGAUCCUCCGGCUUCAAACUCCCAGUUGCUGGAAUUACAGGAAUUGCUGUAAUUAUCUUGCCCGGCUCUGGCAACUGAUGUCUGGAUUCGCUAUGGAGAAAUGCCAUAUUAAAGUGUUGAAACAAUUUGCUUCUCUUUCUUUAGACUAUAAGCUUUCACAUUUAGCUGUUAUUUCUUCAGAUGUUAUGUAACAGAUGGCUAUAAAAGAAACUUCUGGCUUCCUUAGCAUAGUUAUAUUUCAGAUUUUACCGUGUCUUAGCAUGCUCCCUUAUUUCAUGCUUGCCUUUGGCUUAAGAGAGUGAAGUAUCUUCAGUGAGGUUAUCUGUACACUUGAUCUAGAUAUAUGUCUCAAGUUCCCACUCCUUAGUGGGUAAAAGGUAACAGCACUGUCGGGGAGGGAAACACAGUGAUGUGUGCCAAGACUGGUAUCUGUCAUGAGAAGACAGAGAACCCCUCAAGGGCUCCAGGUCAGGAAUGUGGUGCCAGAUCUCUGACGUGAGUUAUUCAUUUGUUCCUCAACUGGAAACUGCACAGUAACCAACCAAGAGGAGAGAUGGGUUAGUGAGCUGCCCAGAUCGGGCACUCAGGCUGUGAAGGUUGCAGAGCUGGGAGAGAAAGUCAGAUUAUCUAACUCUAAAACCUGUGCCUAGGGGACGGAUUGUGGAAUGAGGGGCAGGGAGCUGGAUAUAAAGUAAAUAAAUUGAAUGAAUAAAUAAAUAAAUAAAUAAAUAAACCAGUGCCCUUACUGGGUGUGGAAGAAGAAAACCCAUUCAAGGUCACCCUCAGCUGGAGGGGCAGGGAGCGGGAUAUAAAGUAAAUAAAUAAAUAAAUAAAUAAAUAAAUAAAUAAAUAAAACCAGUGCCCUUACUGGAUGUGGAAGAAGAAAACCCAUUCAAGGUCACCCUCAGCUGCAUAGCAAGUUCCUGGGAAACCUGGACCAUGUAAAAUUCUGUCUUAUAAACAAACAGGGCUGGAGAGAUGGCUCAGCAGUUAAGAACACUGACUGCUCUUCCAAAGGUCCCGAGUUCAAAUCCCAGCAACCACAUGGUGGCUCACAACCAUCUAUAAUGAGAUCUGAUGCCCUCUUCCGAGGUGUCUGAAGACAGCUACAGUGUACUUACGUAUAACAAAUAAAUAAUAAAUCUAAAAAACAAACAAACAAACAACAAACACCUAAAUCAGGGCCAUCAUGGUGAGGCUGAGAUGACUUUGCCCCACCUGCCUGUUAUCUGGAGUUCAAUCCGAAGAGGGAAGGAGAGAACUAACUGCAUACACUUGUCCUGUGACCUCCACAUGUGCCAUGUCGAGAAACAGGUGGCAACACACGUGUUAACCCAGCACUGGGGGAGUAAAGACGGAAGGACCCCUGGGGCUUGCUGGCUAACCGGGCAAGUGACAAGUCCAGUGAAGAGAUCUUGUCUCAAGAAAGAAGAAGAGUUGAGUGUAAUGAAGAACACUCAAAAGUUCCCCUCAGACUUCCCCCAUGCACACACAAAGUGUGCCCCGGCACCCACAGGUGCGCAUAUGAACAUACAGGAACCCUCCCACCACACGUGGUCUGAAACCUGUGCUCUGCCAUGCACAGUGUAUCUUCUUUUCUAAGAGUUCCUUAACACCACAGCCUUUCAGUAAGAUUCCAGAUUGUUUGUUUUUAUAAGCAAUGAUGUCUCUUUCAGCAGACGGUGGAACUGGUAAACUUCGAAGCGAGCAGAUGGUACCGUCUGCCCAUCACAGAGCUAAGAGAGCUAUCUGGGGCUAAGCUUGCCACUUAACAGGUGCUACACUGUGGAAUAAAUGUGUGUUGCUUAUGCCAUCACAUGACUGGCUAGCUGGACUCCGUCAGGUCUUUAUUUUUUGGGUUUCUCUUGGGCUGCUUUGGUCUUUGCAAAACAAAGGUAUGAAACUAUCUUAGUUAGGGUUUCAAUGCUGUGAACAGACAUCACGACCAAGGCAACUUUUAUAAAAGACGUUUAAUUGGGGCUGGCUUACUGGUUCUGAGGUUCAGUCCUUUAUCAUCAUGACAGCAUCCAGGUAGGCAUGGCUCUGGAGGAGGAGCUGAGAGUUCUACAUCUUGUUCUGAAGGCAAACAGGAGAAGACUGUCUUGCAAGCAGCUACGAGGAGGGUCUCAAAGCCCAUCCCCACAGUGACACCCUUCCUCCAACAGGUCCACAUCUCCCAACAGUGCUACUACCUAUGGGCCAUUCAUAUUCAAAACCACCACAGACACUUAGUGUUUGUGUCAUUAAACAUUUAAUGAGAGAGGAGGGAAAAUACCUUUCAAGGCAAAAUAGAGUCUUAGCAACAAUACAGAUGGUGAAAAUUGUACCUCUUAGUUUUAUUUGAAAUCAGGCUGUCUUUAUAUCCCAUCCCCCUGGCUGGCCUACAACUUGCUUUUUAGACCAGAUUGGCCUCAAACUUGCUAAAAAGUCUGCCAUCUCCACUUCCAAGUACUAGGAUCUAUCGAAAUCUGCUAUCAUAUCUGGCUAUAAAUUGACAUUAUAUAUUUUCAUUGGUUUGAAACUUUUCUUAGGGCCAGAGAUUAUACCAGGACCCUAAACAUGUCCAGUGAGGAGCCUUGUCAAUGCUAGGCAAAUGUUCUACCUCUGAAUCAUUCUGAAAAAUCCUUGUGAUGAACUGUUGUAAGACCUCCCUGGAGAGGCAGAAGAGAAAUAGCUGUUUAUCUCAAAUAGACCAGGAACAGAGAAACCUAAGAAACUUACCAUGCCUACCUUGGUGAAAUAAGUGAACCUGUUGGGGUUCCAGGAGCCUGAGUGACCCACGAACAAGCUAUACCACCAAAGGGUCCCAUCCCCAUUGAAUUUCUAUCUCCUCCUAUUCUUUAGUAUUUUUGAGAUCACACAUAUAUGAACAGGAAGGAGUAGUGCAUAAAACCUCAGAAAAGCAUAAGAGGGAUUAUGAUGAUCUCAUGACUCUCACCCUACAGCAAGGGAGCUCCACUCCCAUUGGCUAACUAGCUGUCUGCUGUAUCGUUCUGAAGGCAGAGGUGUCUGCUAGAUUAUCAAAGCUACUGUGCCCAUGAUGGCCAAUGUCAUGUCAAGCCCAGAGCAAAGAAUUCCAUACAAUACUGCUACAACCUAUUGUGGAAUCUGUUAUACUGAGACUGCUGCUCUCUGGUUGUAAUCAUAGCACGGUUAAUGUUUCAUAUAAUUCACCAUGCCAAGGGAAAGCAGUAAGCAGUAGGUAUUAGUCUAUGUGCAGGUCGUAAUUCAAAAUACUGUUGUGAGAGUUACCAUGGGGAUUUUUUUUUUAAAUCAGCAAACUGAAAACAAGAUCACACAAACUAAUUUAUGUUUUACAGAUUUAUGCAAAAGUGUGGCUAUGCACACGGAAGCCAGGUUUGGGGAUACUCCUAUGGCAAGUUGCUUGGUUUGUUUCUCAGUCUACAUUGUACUGUGCUGGUAUCAGAUGGGUCCGAGAGCAUGCAGAACUAUCAGGGAAUUCAGUGAGCUUGUAUUUUUUGGUAUGAGUGUUUCAUUUUAGGUUUUGUCAGUGUCUCUGAUUUAAUUCAGCCCUGUGUGUGCUAGGAAACCCUCUGCCACUAAACUACAUCCUUUUGGUUUGGGUUGGGUUGAGUUGGGUUGUUUUUUUUUUGUUGUUGUUUUUUUUGUUUUGCUUUGUUUUUUUAUACAGGGUUUCUCUGUAUAGCCCUGGCUGUCCUGGAACUCACUUUUGUAGAUCAGGCUGGCCUCAAACUCAGAAAUCUGCCUGCCCCUGCCUCCUGAGUGCUGGGAUUAAAGAAAGGCAUUCGCCACCACGCCCAGCAACCCACUGUUUUUGCCUCCAAGGCCAACAUUAUUUUUUUGUCCAAAUAGUUUAUCAACAUUUUGACAUUGCCAAGCUCCCAUAAGAGUCUUUGGGUUAAAAUGUCGUCCAUGGUACUUUCCUAAUUGGGAUUCUACAUUUUGAAUUCUGAUG
rnacentral:lncRNA from 1 species